UACAGAGGGUGCGAGCGUUAAUCGGAAUUACUGGGCGUAAAGCGCGCGUAGGCGGCUUUGCAAGUCGGGUGUGAAAUCCCCAGGCUUAACCUGGGAACUGCAUUCGAGACUGCAUUGCUAGAGUAUGGGAGAGGGAAGUGGAAUUUCCGGUGUAGCGGUGAAAUGCGUAGAUAUCGGGAGGAACACCAGUGGCGAAAGCGGCUACCUGGCCCAUUCUUGACGCUGAGGCGCGAAAGCUAGGGGAGCAAACGGG
rnacentral:rRNA from 1 species